rnacentral:lncRNA from 1 species
UUCUCCGUGUUGGUCAGGCUGGUCUCCAACUCACGACCUCAGGUGAUCUGCCCGCCUUGGUCUCUCAAAGUGUUGGGAUUACAGGUGUGAACCACCGAGCCAGGCGAUUUAUUUAUUUAUUAUUUUUUUUUUAGAGACGGAGUCUUGCUCUGUCGCCCAGGCUGGAGUGCAGUGGCACGAUCUUGGCUCACUGCAACCUCCGCUUCCCGGGUUCUAGCAAUUCUCCUGCCUCAGCCUCCCAAGUAGCUGGGAUUACAGGCGCACGCUGCCACGCCCAGCUAAUUUUUUGUAUUUUAGUAGAGACGAGGUUUCACCGUGUUGCCCAGGCUGGUCUCGAAUUCCUGAGCUCAGGCAAUCCACCUGCCUUGGCCUCCCAAAGCGCUAGGAUUACAGGCGUGAGCCACCGUGCCCAGCUCCAGCGAUUCUUUUUUAUUUUUAGUAGAGACGGGGUUUCACCAUGUUAGCCAGGCUGGUCUCGAACUCCUGACUUCAAGAGUUCCGCCGGCCUCAGCCUCCCAAAGUGCUGGAAUUACCGGUGUGAGCCACUGCACCUGGCCCAGAGUGAUCUUAAACAUAAAUCAAAUAAUGUCUCCCACCUCUUCAAAUCCUCCAAAGUCUUCCCGCUGCACCUGGACACAUUCCCCGCUCCUUAGCUUGGCUCCCUAUGCCCUAUGCAAUCUGCAGUCAUCCACCCCUGAAGCCACAUCAGCCUCCUGGCUCCUUGGAGAACACACCAAGCCGUUUGAACCCCAGGGCCUUUGCAACUUGGGAUUCUUUUGCCUUAAAUUAUCUUCCCCCUCAUCUUUGUUUUCUAUAUAUUUAUUUUUGAGACAAAGUCUUGCUCUGUUAUCCAGACUUGAGUUCAGUGGUGUGAUCAUAGCUCACUGCAGCCUCAACCUCUCAGGCUCAAGCAGUCCUCCCACCUCAGUCCCCUGAGUAGCUGGGACCACAGGCAAGUGCCGCCAUGCCCGGAUAUUUAUUUAUUUAUUUAUGUAGAGAAAGGGUCUCACUAGUUGCCCAGGCUGUUAUUUAUUUACUUAUUUGAGAUGGAGUUUCACUCUUGUUGCCCAGGUUGGAGUGCAAUGGCGCUAUCUCGGCUCACUGCAACGUCCACCUGCCGGGUUCAAGCCAUUCUCCUGCCUCAGCCUCCUGAGUAGCUGGGACUACAGGCAUGUGCCAUCACGCCCAGCUAAUUUUGUAUUUUUAGUAGAGACAGGGUUUCUCCGUGUUGGUCAGGCUGGUCUCAAACUCCCGACCUCAAGUGAUCCGCCGGCCUUGGCCUCCCAAAAUUCUGAGAUUACAGGCGUGAGCCACUGCGCCCGGCUGUAUUUAUUUAUUUAUUUAUUUAAGGCAGGGACUUGCUCUGUUGCCUAGGCUGGAGUACUCCAGCCUGAAACUCCUGGGCUCAAUCGAUCCUCCCACCUCUGCUCCCCAAGUAGCUAGAACUAUAGCCACGUGCCAGCAUACCUAGCUAACUUUACAAAUUUUAAAAAUAGAGAGGUUAUCCAGGCUGGUGUCUAACCCUGGGCCCCAAGCAAUCCUCCUGCCUCCCAAAGUGCUAGGAUUAAGGCAUGAGCCAUCGUGCUUGGCCUUGUUUUCUUUUUAAAUUGGUGUAAAACACACACACUAUUAAGUUGAUUGGGAAUGACAUUUAGUACACUUGCAAUGCUGUGCAACCAUCACCACUGUCUAAUUCCAGAACUUUCUCAUCACUCCAAAAGAAAACACGUACCCCAUUUAUCUCCCCAUUUCUCUCUCCUCUGUCCCUGGCAACCACGAAUCUACUUUCUGUCUCUAUGUAUUUGUCAGUGCAGGAGAUUUCUUUUGGAUGGAAUACUGCACUAUGCAGCCUUCUGUAUCCGGCUUCCUUCACUUGGCAUAAUAUUUUCAGGACUCAUCUAUGCUGAAGCAUGAAUCAAUGCUUUCUUCUGUUUUUAUGACCAAAUAAUAUUCCACU